GCGCGGAUGGUGGAAUUGGUAGACACGCUGGCUUGAGGUGCCAGUGAGUAAAAUCGUGGGGGUUCAAGUCCCCCUUCGCGCACCA
rnacentral:tRNA from 1 species